CAUUUCUUGUGGCCCCCCACCCCCAAUAUCUAUUCUGUGGUUUAAUGGCUCACCAAGGCGACAAUCCGUAACUGGUCUGAAAGGAUGAUCACUCACACUGGAACUGAACACGGUCCAAACUCCUACGGGAGGCAGCANUGGGGAAUAUUGGACAAUGGG
rnacentral:rRNA from 1 species